AAUGACCCUGGGAAAGCCCCCUUUCCCAAAUGCCCUUGGAAAAAAUGCAUUCUCCUCCUUUUUGCAGAUGAAAACUACUUGGGUCUAGAAGCAGCGCAAAUAACGGAUUGGAUUCGCACGCAGGCCUCAGUUAGACUAGAAUAAUGGUGCUGUCAGGGGAGGAGGCGUUCCUGGCCUGGGUCAGCCAUACUGGCCAUGGGAAUAUUGGGCAAGUCCUUCAGCUUUCCCCAGCCCUAGAUUCCUCAUCUGCCAAACGGGGGUGGUAAUACCUCCUUGGACAAGUGAGUGAAUAAUUGUGAAAGCUGAAUGCAGGGUGCUGGUGUUAUUCGAAUCAUUUGACCCUUCGAAGAGGGGUGUUAAAAACUCUGUCCUGCCUGGGGAACAGUGGCUGCAGGAACUGUGCCAUUUGAAUGUAUGCGGUCUUAAUUGGAGGGGUGCUUAUCUCAUUAAGUUGCUCGGGGAGGUAAGGAUGAGGUACCUACCACCGUAGAGCCACCGUCCUCUUGCCUGUCCCCACAGAGCUCAGCAUAGGGGAUAGCCCAUACCCUAUCUGAGGCGAGGCAGGUGUAAAGCAGGGCUGUGGAAUUCAUUCUCUAGUAAAAUGGAGCCCCCAAGAAGUGGAGUCAUAUGGAGUAAUCUGCUGAAAGCCCCCUAUACUUGGUGCCUUGUCGUUCAGCCACAGGGCGGUCCUGCCUCACAGCCCCAAAGAGUUCUUGGCCAGGCUGUAGGUAACAAGGUUUCGGUUGGGAGCAGAGGUGGAAAUCAAACAGCCCAGAACAGCUGAGCUCUCUUGGCAGCCCAUCUUAAGAUUCAGCUGAGCUCUCAGACCAUCACACAGAACCCUGGGGGUGGGGGACUGGUGGUCCAGAAUCUGCCUUUAUUAGAACUCUAAUCGCUGAAAGGUUGGGGUAGGCUCCCCAGCCACCACUUUAGCGGGGCGAAAAUCCAGGUAGAUCACUGUAAUGGGAGGGGUGAGGGGAGCAGAAAGGGAACCCAUCUGUGCAGCAUCGUGAGCGCCCUGGGUCUCUGCCAGGGGCCUCACCCUGGACCUGCAGCCUUGGGCUGGCGCCCUGUUCUGCGGCAGGCUCUGCAGGGGACCCCCAGGCAAGCCGCUGAGAUGCUGUCGGCUCCAGGCAGGAGCUGCAACACCGUAGUCCAUUGCUCAGCGCUUUGUGAUGCGGCUUCCGAGUAACAGAUGGCAGACGGUUACACAAUCGCCAGGCUUUAGACAUGGUGCAGCACCACACUGCCUGCCGCCGAGGGGCUGAGGGGCUUCGUUCUGUUUGGCAUCUGGGGAAACCGAGGCCCUGGGUUUCCCGUGGCAGCUCCAUGCAGAGCCUGCAAGGGAGACCAGGGAUUGCCUUCCAAGGAUUGCCUUCCACGGGAUUGCCUGCUUCUUGAAUCGUUAUUUUGCCCUCUACUCAAGUGGAGAAGAUCCCCUGGUCCUCUGGAAGCUAUCAAGGGAAUCCAGUUUUGCCAAGUGUCGUUACCUGAUCCAGCCCAAAGUCGUACAGACCCAGGUCUUCGGGCCGACCCCUGCCGUCUGCUCUGUUCAAGUUCUCCAACUGUAAAUAAUACAUCAGCCCUCUUCCUCGGUGCUCCUCUCCCUUUCCCCUGCCACGGUGGCUUCUGUUACAACCACAUGUCCCAAGUCUCCUGCAAGGUCUUUUGAUAAAGUGAGUGAUGAAAUAGUUUAGGCUGCGUGGUAAACUCGAAUGAGCUCUUACCAACCUCCUUACCUCCUCUGUCUGCCACACUGGUGUAUCGUUGUCAGAAGAAUAAGGCCAACUGGUUUUUCCUCUCAUCUUUGCAGGAACAUCAGCAGUGAGAGGAACCGACUAUGCCCAGGGGUGGAAAUAGGACAACUCUCCUUCCCAGGACACCUUCCAGGGGCCAUUGGCAGAUUCUGUCAUCAAGUCAUUCGUGGAUGUUGCAUACUGAACAGGGGGAGCCACGUGUCCGGUUUGCUUGAGAAGCGAUUUGUAUGGCACUGAACAGUCAUUAUUUCAUCUGCUGCUGUCUGCAAUGCUGCUCUAAGGUGGAUGGAAGCGAUGGAGCUCCUGGGGCAAGGACUCGUCGUGACGGGCCAUGUCCUGUUGGUAGAUCGCAGUGGCAGCUUGGAUCCCGACUCCGGUGUGAUGGACUGAGCGCCGAGCAGAGGGUCUGAGACCGGCAGUCCUGGUGCUCACUCUGUUUCUCACUCUGCCUAUGGGACCUCAGGCAUUGGACCCCGCCUCUCUGGCGUCUUCACCUGUAAAGGGAAGAACUAAACAGAUGGUCUCAAUGAUUCUUCCUGCUUCCAUCUUUCUUCAAUCCAAUGCAUUUCUGAGUCCUCUUUUAAAACCCUUGAUGCAUCUCCAUUUAGUUCCACAGAAAAUUUAUACAGGGGUUUAUUGAGUCCUCAGGAAACACCUAAUAAAAUAUUGUGGAGAAAGAGAUUGAUUUAAUGAAAAUCUUCCCACUUGCUGUGGCCAAAUAUAGCCAGGUCCCUUAAAUUCAAGGAGGGUGUGAGCCAUUAUUGAGAAACUCCUUCAGCAAGGUAGAGGGCACAAGGUGUGCCUGAGGAAGAUUCUCUUUCUUCUGCCCAAGCUGGGAAGGUGAAGGCAGCCCCCUGGAGUACCAGCCUACAGGCCAGGAUGCCCAGCAUGUGCAUCUGAUGCUGGCUGCCCUAAGGUCACAGGUGUCAGAGAAAAGGGCACAUCUCUGUGGAGAUACAGGUGUCCAAGCCCCCCCUUCCCCGCUCCAUUCAAAGAAAACUACAAAAAUCUAAGAGUGCUGACAAAGUCAACAGCUUCUAAACAGAAAGGAUAUAUUCAGCCCGAGACCCCCAUUUCAUUUUACAAGUGACCCCAGCGUCCUCACCCUUGCCUGUAUAACAAGGGCUCCGGGUUUCCUUAAACCCCUGCCGGGCUUGCCCACACUCCCCAGAGCUGGUCCGUGGCAGAGCUGCGGGCUGACAGGUGAGGACCAGAGCUACUUAAAAUUCUUCACUUGAGGGAGACUUUCAUUUUAUAUGUAUUGUGUGAAUUUUUUACAAGUAGAACAUAUUCAUGCAUUGCUUGUGUAAUUAAAAAUAAAUAAUUAAAAUCUC